rnacentral:rRNA from 1 species
GUUAUUCCUAACUGUGCAAAGGUAGCAUAAUCAUUAGUCUUUUAAUUGAAGGCUGGAAUGAAUGGUCGAAUGAAAUAUUAACUGUUUCAAUUUAAGUUNUAAUUGAAAUUUAUUUUUUAGUUAAAAAGCUAAAAUUUAUUUAAAAGACGAGAAGACCCUAUAAAUCUUUAUAGUUNGUAAUUUAUACUAANUAUGUAGAAAAGUUUAUUUUUGUUAGUUAGAAUUAUUUUAUUGGGGUGAUAUUGAAAUUUAGUAAACUUUUAAUUUAUUUAUAACAUAAAUUUAUGAUUUGUNUGAUCCAUUGNNUAAUGAUUAUAAAAUUAAGUUACUUUAGGGAUAACAGCNGUAAUUUUUUUAAAGAGUUCAUAUUGAUAAAAAAGAUUGCGACCUCGAUGUUGGAUUAAGAUAUAA